AAGCGUGCGCAGGCGGUUUUGUAAGACUGUCGUGAAAUCCCCGGGCUCAACCUGGGAAUGGCGAUGGUGACUGCAAGGCUAGAGUUUGGCCAGAGGGGGGUAGAAUUCCACGUGUAGCAGUGAAAUGCGUAGAUAUGUGGAGGAACACCGAUGGCGAAGGCAGCCCCCUGGGUCAAAACUGACGCUCAUGCACGAAAGCGUGGGGAGCAAACAGGAUUAGAUACCCCAGU
rnacentral:rRNA from 1 species